rfam:Camelus ferus unplaced genomic scaffold scaffold803, whole genome shotgun sequence.
GAGGGUAUAGCUCAAGUGGUAGAGCACAUGCUCAGCAUGCACAAGGUCCUGGGUUCAAUCCCCAGUACCUCCU